GGAGGACCAUCUCCCAAGGCUAAAUACUCCCUAGUGACCGAUAGUGAACCAGUACCGUGAGGGAAAGGUGAAAAGCACCCCGGAAGGGGAGUGAAACAGUUCCUGAAACCGUGUGCCUACAAGUAGUUAGAGCCCGUUAAUGGGUGAUAGCGUGCCUUUUGUAGAAUGAACCGGCGAGUUACGAUUUGUUGCAAGGUUAAGCGGAAAAAGCGGAGCCGUAGCGAAAGCGAGUCUGAAUAGGGCGCAUAAGUAACAGGUCGUAGACCCGAAACCAGGUGAUCUACCCAUGUCCAGGAUGAAGGUAAGGUAAUACUUACUGGAGGUCCGAACCCACGCACGUUGAAAAGUGCGGGGAUGAGGUGUGGGUAGCGGAGAAAUUCCAAUCGAACUUGGAGAUAGCUGGUUCUCUCCGAAAUAGCUUUAGGGCUAGCCUCGAGGUAAAGAGUCAUGGAGGUAGAGCACUGUUUGGACUAGGGGCCCUUCUCGGGUUACCGAAUUCAGAUAAACUCCGAAUGCCAUGUACUUAUACUCGGGAGUCAGACUGCGAGUGAUAAGAUCCGUAGUCGAAAGGGAAACAGCCCAGACCACCAGUUAAGGUCCCCAAAUAUAUGUUAAGUGGAAAAGGAUGUGGGGUUGCUUAGACAACCAGGAUGUUGGCUUAGAAGCAGCCACCAUUGAAAGAGUGCGUAAUAGCUCACUGGUCGAGUGACCCCGCGCCGAAAAUGUACCGGGGCUAAACAUAUUACCGAAACUGUGGAUGAACCUCUUUAGAGGUUCGUGGUAGGAGAGCGUUCUAAGGGCGGUGAAGUCAGACCGGAAGGACUGGUGGAGCGCUUAGAAGUGAGAAUGCCGGUAUGAGUAGCGAAAGAAGGGUGAGAAUCCCUUCCACCGAAUAUCUAAGGUUUCCUGAGGAAGGCUCGUCCGCUC
rnacentral:rRNA from 1 species